GGAAGAUUUUGAAGAAUAUGCUGCAAAAGCUAAAACUUUACUUGAAAAUACUACUAACGGGAACAAAUUGAUCCUCUAUGGGCUUUGCAAAAGAGCAAAUGUUGGACCAGUGAAAACUAGCUGACCUGGUAUAUGCGAUAUGAGGGACAGAGCCAAGUGGGAUGCUUGGAAGGUUGUUGAAGGGAAGGAAGUCAAAGGAGGUGGCUAUGAGUGACUACAUCACAAAGGUUAAAUAGCUGCUCAAGGCAGCUGCACAUCUUGCUCUUUGUAGUACCAUGUAAGCUGUUACCUUCUAUCUUCAACUCGAAUCAUCCAGUGGAUGUUUUUGUUAUGGAUUUCAUCUCCUUUUGUGUCUUAACAAUUGACAGUAUCUGAAAUCUAAUGUAGUGUCUUAUUAUUUCAUUAGUGUUUCAUUCGAAUUAAGAUGCAUGCGGAUGUCGAGUUUUUAGGUCAGGAAUGCUAAGUGUGGGCAUGUUGAAUAAGCAUUACCUGCAGCCCAUAUAUUUAGUGAAGCUUCAUUGAUUCCCAGUAAGACUGUAAAUUGUCUGUUAGGUUCUGUUCAUUUUUCUCUUCGGUCCUACAUGCUAGAGAUCUUUUAUCUUUGUUCAGUUUCUUCCCCUUAAAACCUAGGCGAUCUGUGAUAAAAUUUUAUUGGAAAUUUAAUAGUAAUGAGUGUAUAUAACCUUGAAAUGAAAAGGAGGCUUUUUAUAGUUGUCUUCCUAUAGUCUGAUUAUUUAGUCUAACAGUCCUGGUAGAAAAAUCCUGUAUAUUUUAUCCGAUCUUCUGCUAUGACUUUUGGGUUUCUUUCUACAUCCAAAUUUGUAUAGAAUGUGUUUUGUGAAAGGCAUGGAUAGUUGUAAUGCAGACAUUGAUCGAGUGUUUUAUCUUUCAGUAUGCCAUCUGACGUUUAUUUGCUUAUGGUCUCUUAAAUAUCUCUGUCAAGCAUAGUAUUGGUUUUGAUCACGUUGGCCUCAAAACUGUGAUAGUUUUCUCUAAUAGACUCGAUUGCUCAAAAGGAAAUUUGC